AUUGAACGCUGGCGGCAGGCCUAACACAUGCAAGUCGAGCGGAUGAAGGGAGCUUGCUCCUGGAUUCAGCGGCGGACGGGUGAGUAAUGCCUAGGAAUCUGCCUGGUAGUGGGGGAUAACGUCCGGAAACGGGCGCUAAUACCGCAUACGUCCUGAGGGAGAAAGUGGGGGAUCUUCGGACCUCACGCUAUCAGAUGAGCCUAGGUCGGAUUAGCUAGUUGGUGGGGUAAAGGCCCACCAAGGCGACGAUCCGUAACUGGUCUGAGAGGAUGAUCAGUCACACGGGAACAGAGACGCGGUCCACUCCUACGGGAGGCAGCAGUGGGGAAUAUUGGACAAUGGGCGAAAGCCUGAACCAGCCAUGCCGCGUGUGUGAAGAAGGUCUUCGGAUUGUAAAGCACUUUAAGUUGGGAGGAAGGGCAGUAAGUUAAUACCUUGCUGUUUUGACGUUACCAACAGAAUAAGCACCGGCUAACUUCGU
rnacentral:rRNA from 1 species